GACGAACGCUGGCGGCGCGCUUAACACAUGCAAGUCGCACGGUGAACGGGGCUUCGGCCCCGGGAUCAGUGGCGAACGGGUGCGUACCACGUGGGCAACCUGCCCCUCACUCUGGGAUAACCCCGGGAAACCGGAGCUAAUACCGGAUACUCCGGCCGAUCCGCAUGGUUCGGCCGGGAAAGGUCCGCCGGUGAGGGGAUGGGCCCGCGGCCUAUCAGCUUGUUGGUGAGGUAACGGCUCACCAAGGCGA
rnacentral:rRNA from 1 species